GAUGAACGCUGGCGGCGUGCUUAACACAUGCAAGUCGAACGGUGAAGGCGGAGCUUGCUCUGCUGGAUCAGUGGCGAACGGGUGAGUAACACGUGAGCAAUCUGCCCCUGACUCUGGGAUAAGCGCUGGAAACUGCGUCUAAUACUGGAUACGAGCUGCGAAGGCAUCUUCAGCAGCUGGAAAGAACUUCGGUCAGGGAUGAGCUCGCGGCCUAUCAGCUUGUUGGUGAGGUAACGGCUCACCAAGGCGUCGACGGGUAGCCGGCCUGAGAGGGUGACCGGCCACACUGGGACUGAGACACGGCCCAGACUCCUACGGGAGGCAGCAGUGGGGAAUAUUGCACAAUGGGCGAAAGCCUGAUGCAGCAACGCCGCGUGAGGGACGACGGCCUUCGGGUUGUAAACCGCUUUUAGCAGGGAAGAAGCGAAAGUGACGGUAACUGCAGAAAAAGCGCCGGCUAACUACGUG
rnacentral:rRNA from 1 species